CAGCCGCCGCGGUAAUACGUAGGGUGCGAGCGUUAAUCGGAUUUACUGGGCGUAAAGCGUGCGCAGGCGGCCCGUUAAGACAGGUGUGAAAUCCCUGGGCUCAACCUAGGAAUUGCGCUUGUGACUGGCGGGCUCGAGUACGGUAGAGGGGGUGGAAUUCCUGGUGUAGCAGUGAAAUGCGUAGAGAUCAGGAGGAACACCGAUGGCGAAGGCAGCCCCCUGGGCCUGUACUGACGCUCAUGCACGAAAGCGUGGGGAGCAAACAGGAUUAGAUACCCUGGUAGUCCACGCCCUAAACGAUGGGUACUAGCCGUUUGGUGCGCGAUAGCGCUGAGUGGCGAAGCUAACGCGAGAAGUACCCCGCCUGGGGAGUACGGCCGCAAGGUUGAAACUUAAAGGAAUUGGCGGG
rnacentral:rRNA from 1 species